GAUGAAGAACGCAGCGAAAUGUGAUAAGUAGUGUGAAUUGCAGAAUUCAGUGAAUCAUCGAAUCUUUGAACGCACAUUGCGCCCUUUGGUAUUCCUUAGGGCAUGCCUGUUCGAGCGUCAUUUAAACCUUCAAGCUAAGCUUGGUGUUGGGUGACUGUCCGCUUCACGGCGGACUCGCCUCAAAAUUAUUGGCGGCCGGUACAUUGGCUUCGAGCGCAGCAGAAACGCGAACUCGGGCCCGUCGUAUUGGCUCCCAGAAGCUAUCUUCACAAUUUUGACCUCGGAUCAGGUAGGGAUACCCGCUGAACUUAAGCAUAUCAAUAAGCGGAGGA
rnacentral:misc_RNA from 1 species